rnacentral:rRNA from 1 species
AUGGGCCAGUGCAAAUCCUACUUGGAUAACUGUGGUAAUUCCAGAGCUAAUACAUGCAACUGAUAUCCCGAAGGCGGUGUCGGGGCUUGCUUGUCUUGCCCUGCCUGCUCUGACGGAUGCUUUUAUUAGACCAAGCCGCUGAGGACUUGAGGGUUCGCGCUCUCUUGUUUGACUCGUGUGAUGGUGACUCUGGAUAACCAAAUUCUGACAAGCGCACGUACUUCUCUUCUGAGCGAGACGGCGCUGCCACUUUCGAGUGUCUGCCUUAUCAGCUAUCAACCGUUCGUUAUGCGCGACCGAUGGCUUUGACGGGUAACGGGGAAUCAGGGUUCGAUUCCGGAGAGGCAGCCUGAGAGACGGCUACCACGUCCAAGGACGGCAGCAGGCACGCAAAUUACCCAAUCCCAGCAAAUGGGGGAGGUAGUGACGAAAUCUAACGAUGCGGGCGCCCUUUCUGGGGCCCCGCAAUCG